rnacentral:tRNA from 1 species
GGGCGGGUGGCGAAAUGGCAGACGCGCAUGGUUUAGGACCAUGUUCCGAAAGGAGUGGAGGUUCAAGUCCUCUCCCGCCCA